ACGGGAGGCAGCAGUGGGGGAUAUUGCACAAUGGGGGGAACCCUGAUGCAGCGACGCCGCGUGGGUGAAGAAGUUUUUCGGAAUGUAAAGCCCUAUCAGCAGGGAAGAUAAUGACGGUACCUGACUAAGAAGCCCCGGCUAACUACGUGCCAGCAGCCGCGGUAAUACGUAGGGGGCAAGCGUUGUUCGGAAUCAUUGGGCGUAAAGGGCAUGUAGGCGGUCUGUCAAGCCAGGCGUGAAAGCCAGGGGCUCAACCCCUGAACUGCGCUUGGAACUGGCGGACUGGAGUCGCUGAGGGGGAACCGGAAUUCCUGGUGUAGGGGUGAAAUCUGUAGAUAUCAGGAAGAACACCGAUGGCGAAGGCAGGUUUCCAGCAGACGACUGACGCUGAGGUGCGAAGGUGCGGGGAGCAAACAGGAUUAGAUACCCUGGUA
rnacentral:rRNA from 1 species